rnacentral:rRNA from 1 species
UACGGGGGGGGCAAGCGUUGUUCGGAAUUACUGGGCGUAAAGGGUUCGUAGGUGGCGUGCUAAGUCAGACGUGAAAUCCCUCAGCUUAACUGGGGAACUGCGUCUGAGACUGGCAGGCUCGAGUGCAGGAGAGGAACGCGGAAUUGCAGGUGUAGCGGUGAAAUGCGUAGAUAUCUGGAGGAACACCGGUGGCGAAGGCGGCGUUCUGGACUGCAACUGACACUGAAGAACGAAAGUCAGGGGAGCAAACGGG